rnacentral:rRNA from 1 species
UCCAGAACUCCUACGGGAGGAGCAGUGAGGAAUAUUGGUCAAUGGACGAGAGUCUGAACCAGCCAAGUAGCGUGCAGGAUGACGGCCCUAUGGGUUGUAAACUGCUUUUAUAAGGGAAUAAAGUGAGCCUCGUGAGGCUUUUGCAUGUACCUUAUGAAUAAGGACCGGCUAAUUCCGUGC